rnacentral:lncRNA from 1 species
UGCCUCUGGAGUUUGCUCUGCAACUGGAAAGAUCUCAGUUUCAGUUCAUUCUGGUGGUGUCAACAUGCCAGAAGUCACAUAUCCAUGCACAUAGAGACAGCUGUGUGCUCUUGCUUUUCCUCAAUACAGGCUCAAGGAUUUGAGUGAUCUGAGCAGGUUUGGGAAGAAUUAUUCAGUGACAGACACAAAAGAAACAAGACAAAAAAGACAUGAGAGAGAUUUGUUUUGGAAGAGUCUAUUGUUCAUUCCUGGCUUUUGCUGACAUUCAGAGGGAUUAAGAUGGAAUGAAGGAAAAAUGACUGACCCAGAAGUCUGCUCACCUCAGAAGCAGCAGCAGGUUUCCUUCAAAGGAAAGCAAAAGCUUAAUCUGUAAAAGAGAUCUUUUCAAUGGACUGGCUUCGGCAGUUGGCCACGCAGGUCCCUUCCGAACCUCCAAGGUGCCACAGCCGCUCUGCAGUUGCUCAGGUGGAGACGAUCCGGCCACGUGGUUGGGGCCCUGAGGGGAGCACUUCCGGUCCGCGCUUGGGCAGCUUCCGGUGUGUGUCCGCCUGACUUCUCCGUGCUUCCCUGCGCGAGGCCGGUCCGAUUCCCCCUUCCCCUGUGCCCGCAGGGAAUGCAAGCCGCGGUCGUGACCCACCGGAACAAGGGCGCGGCCCGCCUGCGCUCGGCCCCGGCGCUCUCCCGCGCCCGGCCGGCCGCCAUGCGCCUACAGUAGCCCCGCGAGAGCCUUCCCUAGCGCGGCUCCGCCGGGUGUGCCGCGGGCCUGCGCGGUUCCCAGGCGUCAGGCUGUGACAAGCACAGCCAGGCAAGCGCACGGGGUCAGCAGCCGCUCAGUCCAUCUUGAAACACCGAGAGGCUGACGUGUGUGGGAGUCCGCGGCUCACCUGAAAGCUGCCCUGGUGCCUUGAAACAGCUGCUGCUUAGCCCCAUGCUAAGGGACGCCUGGUGGCUCAGCGGUUGAGCGCCUGCCUUUGGCUCAGGGUGUGAUCCUGGAGUCCUGGGUUCAAGUCCUACAUCAGGCUCCUUGUAUGGACCCUGCUUGUGUUUCUGCCUCUCUCUCUCUCUGUCUCUCAUGGAUAAACAAAAAUCUUAAAAAGAACCUCCAAGUGACCUUCCGUUCAUCCGAACCAUGUUUGACUAUGGGGUCUUAGAGGAUGUGAGGGUGUAUAGCAGGAGAGAUUUGAUUUCUAAGUUCACUCUCCUAGCAUGGAGCUAAAGAGCAAGUUCCUUUUCACGGUCUUGUUACUUUUCUUACUACUUUUUUUUUUUUU